rnacentral:misc_RNA from 1 species
AACGCAACUUGCGCUCUCUGGUAUUCCGGAGAGCAUGCCUGUUUGAGUGUCAUGAAAUCUCAACCAUUAGGGUUUCUUAAUGGCUUGGAUUUGGAGGUUUGCCAGUCUGACUGGCUCCUCUUAAAAGAGUUAGCAAGUUGAACUAUUGCUAUCUGGCGUAAUAAGUUUCACUGGAAUGGUAUUGUAAAGCGUGCUUCUAAUCGUCUUCGGACAAUUUUUUGACUCUGGCCUCAAAUCAGGUAGGACUACCCGCUGAACUUAA